rnacentral:lncRNA from 1 species
CAAUUUCAACCACAUAUGAAACACAUGUUCUUUCUCUAAAUCUGUCCACCUGUGUUUCUCCGCAUGUGCCGCUGUUGUGCAAGGGUGUCAGAGAAGGUCGUGAGACAGCAGCAGAGUUUGGAACAAAAACAAGUGGACGCUGAAAGAGAGACCAGGUGGGUUUGAUGACGGCAUGCCACUGCAGGAAUGCAUAUCUGUCAGCGUUGAACUUGUCCAAUGGGAAUCACCCCUGGAAUGUUUGAGCAUCACAGCUGAAGGUGUCAGCAGCAGUUGGCAGAUCAGGAACUGUGCGAACUGGGCAGCAUAGACCCAAAACAUGCGUGGUGCAACAGUGUGGAAACAGGUGUUUGUCAGUGAGAGACAGUAGAGGACAGGUCGUAAUGAUAUACAGUAUGAGAGAACUGAUCCCCAUAUUUGAAUUUGAUAUUUGAAUUAGUUCAUCAUAUCCUCAUCUUUGCUGUGUGGUUUCACUGUAUUGACAUGAGAGUGGUUCAAGCUCAAAGUUUUCUAAGUAAAGGGUUAGCAUUUGUUAGCUAUGGCGAGGUUUUAGGGCCACAUAAAAAUUAGUUUUUAGAUUUAAUCUCGUAAUAUUACUACUUAAUUUUUUUUUAAAAUACUUUUUAUACUACUUUUUUUUUUAAAUGUGGACCUAAUAUUCAAUAAAAUAUUGUAAAAACAAAUGAGCUGUCUGAUGGCAAAGUAAAGUGCUUCUGAUUAGAGCGUACGCCUAAAUCGAAACUUAAACUGAACUAUAAUUCAGGCAUAUAGGAUUAUUACAGAUUCUAAUGUAAGGCUUGUGCAUCAGAAGUUUGCACAUGUGCCUUUCUCCCUCAGACAGUGUUGAGGGAUUAUGAAGGGGCCCAUGUUGGAAAAACCAGAGGCCCUUAGAGUACCAGUCUGAUCUCUAAAUACAUACACAAGCACCCAGGGGUCAUGAACCAGGGGUCUCCUGGGACCAGUUGCUGCGUGGUCCCUCUCUACACACGAGAGGGACCACGUAGGAGGGAGGGGGUUUACCAUGUGAGCGAACCACUUGCUUUAGAUGUCAGAGGGUUAAUUUAUGAUCGCUGUUUGAUGUCACAGCAGCAGCUCUGACAUGUUACACCUCUAUGUGAAGGGAAAUUGCAAGUGUGAAGAACCUACUCAAUGUGUAAAUUAAAAGGCAACAAUCAGAGCUCCUUUUUUAAAAUCAUAUUUAGGUUUCCUUGGUCCCCACUGACCUCGAGGAGUUUCACAUCCAGGCCUCACAAAAGCAAAUGUGCUGCCCCUGUUAUACACUUCUUUUGGGUGUACCUUGGUGCGCCUUCUCCCAGCCUGUUGUGGCCAACAAGGGGUGACUCUAGAGAGGAGCACUGCAAAUUCAGCGACGAUAAUGAUGGAAGUACAUCAGGCCUACAGAGGGCGCCAACCUUGUCAAUAAAGAAAACAACUCCAAUCUGAAAUUUAGGCUUCAGGGGAGGUACAGAUUUUAGCAUCUCUCUCCUUCAGGAGGCAGACACCCUCCCUUAAAAAACACAUAGGCUAAAUUUACAUGAUUAUUUAUUCAGAGAGAGAUGAUCGUAAAGGGUGCCACAGGUUCAGGACAGCUCUUAGUCAUUUAGCUACAGGUUUGGGCUGCCUAAGGCUUGGAGCAGAUCAGAAGUAUGUUACUUUAGGCUUAAGGUUAGGUUUAAACCAAGCACUGCUAUAGACUUGAAGCUGGCUCUUGGUUAUGGUUGGUUUUACUGCUUUAAGCUUUGACUGAAUCAGGCUGCUGAAGACCUAAUCUAGGUCAGGCCUAGACAGCUGUUGUGCUAUAGACUUCAGGAUGACUAGACCAGCUCUUGAUUAUGCUGCUUCAGGCUUUAGGCAGGCUCAGGCUGAAACCCCCCACUAGAUUAUUCUGUAAUAGAUUUUGACUGGAUCAAGCUUGGACCAGAGAAAACCAAGCAAACCAAACCCUCCUGUCAAUGGAUACAUUUUACAGUAAAAGGCUUCUUUGUCCUUUUUGGACAGGUUCUAACAUGCUGUCAAAGAAACGCCAGUCAAAAGAUGACAACGCAAGAUUAGCACCCUAUCUGAUGCUGCAUGAUGGGAAAACAGGAGAUCAGA